CCAACUUUUUGUUCAUUCUAACUCUUACCACACCAAGCUUUCCUUGGUGUCAGCCACAGGGGUCACUAAGCCAUCAGCUGAUCAAGAAAGCCACCCAAGUAGCUGGGACUACAGGUGCCUGC
rnacentral:lncRNA from 1 species